rnacentral:rRNA from 1 species
GAUGAACGCUGGCGGCGUGCCUAAUACAUGCAAGUCGAGCGAACGGACUAGUAUCUUGCUUCUCUGAUGUUUACGGCGUACGGAUGGGUGACCCGUGGAUUACCUCCCUAUUAGCCUGCGUUAUAUUCGGGAAACACAAGCUAAUACCGUUUAAUAUUUUGCACCGCAUGAUUCAACCGUGAAAUACGGUCUUGCUGUCACUGAUAGAUGAAUCCGCGCUGCAUUAGCUAGUUGGGAAGGUCACGGCAUACCAAGGCAACGAUGCAUAUCCGAACGGAGAGGGUGAUCGGCCACACUGGAAGUGAGACACGGUCCAGACUCCUACGCGAGGCAGCAGUAGGGAAUCUUCCGCGAGGGGCGAAAGCCGGACGGAGCAACGUCGCGUGAGUGAUGAAGGUCUGAGGAUCGUAAAACGAUGUUAUUAGGGAAGAAGAAAUGUGUAAGUAACUGUGCACAUAGUGACGGUACCUAAUCAGAAAGCCACGGCUAACUACGUG